rnacentral:rRNA from 1 species
GACGAACGCUGGCGGUGUGCUUCACACAUGCAAGUCGAACGAGGUAGCAAUACCUAGUGGCGGACGGGUGAGUAACGCGUGGGAAUCUGCCUUUAGAUGGGGGAUAACGAGCCGAAAGGUUCGCUAAUACCGCAUAUGCCGCAAGGUGAAAGGAGUAAUCCGUCUGAAGAUGAGCCCGCGUCCGAUUAGCUAGUUGGUGGGUAAAGGCCUACCAAGGCGACGAUCGGUAGCUGGUCUGAGAGGAUGAUCAGCCACAAUGGGACUGAGACACGGCCCAUACUCCUACGGGAGGCAGCAGUGGGGAAUUUUACGCAAUGGGGGAAACCCUGACGUAGCGACACCGCGUGAGCGAAGAAGCCCCGUUGGGGUGUAAAGCUCUGUCAGCUGGAACGAAACAAAUGACGGUACCAGCAGAGGAAGCAUCGGCUAACUACGUGCCAGCAGCCGCGGU